rnacentral:lncRNA from 1 species
GUGAGCGGGGUCGUGGGGAGAGGGCGCGCGGGGCCCAGGGAACCCGUGAUGGAAAAGGAAGCCCGCAGUGGGUCUGACUCUUCAAGAGAUAAGGAAGUGGUAGGAAAGUAGCCUUGCGCGGUGGGUAUCUUAGAGGCAAAAAGAAAGUGACUCCGCCAGGCUCUGGCCUCCCAGGAAGGCGGAAGUAGGCUUGCCUAUCUUCCACUUUUCUAUCUUUAAGGAAAGAAUAGGAAAAGACGGAAGCAGGCCCCAGCGAGAUUUGAACUCGCGACCCUGGUUUACAAGACCAGUGCUCUAACCCCUGAGCUAUGGAGCCGGCUGUUGGUUUCCUUUUGACACAAAAGCAGUUGACGCUGUCGCCGGCGCCGCGCAGCCGCAGUCCGCUGAACCCUCGGCCGAGUUCUGUGGCUGCUGGACCCAAGCUCCUCCCACGGCCGCAGCCAUCUUGCCCGUGCGUCCGUGGCACGGAACGGCCGUUAGUCCCGGCAGAGGGCUCCGCGAAGACAGUGCCGUCGUUGGGCGCGCGCGCGGGCGGGAGCUGUCGGGGCGGGGCGGCACCGCCGAGCUCCGAGCUGUGAGGACCGCCCCGGGCCUUGGGCGGGGCGGGGGCCAGGGAAGGGCGUGCGCAGGAUUGGGGAGCACGUUUUGCGUCUUGCUGUGCGUGAGGAAGCGGGGAUCCAGGUCAAGGCUAUGGAAAGUUCCAGAAGCAAAAACAAAAAAAGUUCGGGUACAGCGGCUCACACCUGUAAUCCCAGCUCUUAGGGAGAUGGAAACUGGAGGAUCACUUGAGGCCAGGAGUUCAAGACCAGCCUGGGCAACAUAGCAAGACCCAGU